CCUAGCCUGCCCCCCAGGUUACAGUCCAGUGAAAAAAAAAGUGUUCUUUGGUCAAACAAGCAAAGCAUGCUGGGGAGAGAGCAAGGACGAAGCCCUUUGAGAGGUCUGGGCCGUGGGUCCUGCCCCUACACGGAGAUGGAGUCGCCUGCAAACCUGUCUGAAUUAUCCCUUUGCCCCUGGCCGGUGCAUAAUGGAGCUCACUCAGUCCCAGCCUGGAGGAUCCCACACUCUGGGAGGCCGGCGGGCCAAGCAACUGCUCGGGUACAGCGUAUCAGCAUCAUGGCACAGGCGCGGAGCCGACCCAGGGGCACCUACCUCUGCCCGAGUGCGGCGGGACACUGCUCGCAGCCAGUUCCCUAUGGUGGUGAGCACCGAAGCAAAGUAGGCCAGGCCGAACAGAAUCCAGAACCACACCAGCGGCUGAUAGACUGCAGAGUUCUGGCUGGUGCUGGCGCCUAGGAUACCACCGGCGAGGGCAGAAAGAAGAUGAUUGCAGGGCACGUUUUGAGCCAGUAAGUCACCUUUUCACCACCCGUCUUCCCAGCUCACCAAAAGUCCCCGUUGUCCCCAGGACAAUGAGGAUGUGACAGUGUGUGCAAACACAUGCAAGAGGAUGAGCAUGCAUGAUUUGAAGUGUGCAAGAUAAGAGCAUGUGAGUGGGAGUGCUCAUGUGCAAGAAUGUGAGCCUGUGUGAGGGGUGCACCUUGUUACAUGGGUAAACAUGCAUGGAGGUGCAGGCAUGCAAGAAUGUUAGUGUGCAUGAGAUGUUGAUCAGUGCAGCAAUGUUAGGGCGCAUUCUGAGAGUGAAUACAGCGGUUGCAGCCAUCCUGUGGGGGGGGCACAAACACCACGUGGAGUUUGGAGGGAGAAGCGGAAGUGCAGAGGCUCUGGGUAGCAAUCAAGUGGGCAAGGAAGUGAAGCACAAGAAAGGUGGCCUCACCGGCCACAUAGUCCCCGAACCCCACCGUGGUGAGUGUCACGACGACGAAGUAGAUGGCCUCGAGCUUGCUCCAGCCCUCCACGUAGCAGAACACAAAGGUGGGGGCGAGGACGAAGAGCAGGCAGCCAAUCAGCAGGAAGAGCACCGCUGACAGAAUUCGCACCAGCUCCUUGGGCACGUGCCACUUCUGCAGGGAGUGCCCACAACGUCCACUCUCACACCCCACAACCCCUCCUCUGGGAGCCCGAGGGGAGGCUCCGGAGAUCUCAGGGCCCCAGCGUGAGUGCUGGGAGGGGACAUAGGAAAGGUAUCCUGAGCCCACCACAAGGGCUUGGAGCAGCUCACCAGGAAGAUGGCUUCUAUGUGACCGAUGCCACGGCGCAGGGAGGAGCCCAGCCGGUCCCCGACCCCUGCCAGCAGCAUCCCGAACAGCGGGAUCCCCACCAGUGCAUAAAAGAUGCAGAAGAGGCGCCCAGCAUCUGUUCGCAGGGCCGCAUUGCCGUAGCCUGGGCAGAGGGGCCGUGCAGGAGGUCCAGGGGUUACCUGGCAUCCCCCUACCUCCCCCUGCAACUUCCCCCUUGAGAAAGCCCAGCCACCCCUUGCCCAGUCCCCUCCCCCACCGAUGGUGGUGAUGAUGGUGCCUGAAAAAAAGAAGGCACUGCCCAGGUCCCAGGCUGAGUAGUUGCUGUGACUGGUUGAGUUGAUUUCAGGGUUCGCACCCCCUCCCAGGGCAUCAGCCACUUCCUGCAGGACAAGGCGCAGAAAGAGGAAGCUUAGUCCUUCCCUCCGGUCCUGGCCAACCCCCUGGCCCUCCAGUGUCCGCAGUGCUUCCCUUCCUUCCCCUCCCAGCUCUCCCCUUCCAGCUGGUCUUCCUGAAGGCUUUCCCUUUGAGCAGGCAUUGCAAAUUGGGUGACUCAAAUUGGUUUGACCUUCCCGCUAUUUUAGAAACACUAAUCUGCCCCCUAAUUCACACAACAGAUUUCCAGUUUCACAGCGAUCAAGAGCACAGACUCUGGGACCAGACCGUCUAGUUUUGAAUCUUGGUGAUGUGUGAACUUGGGCAGGUUAACUCUCUCUCCUCUGUUUCCGCAUCUACCCGGUGGAGACGGCAUCUGCUAAAUCCAAGUUCUGCAGAAUGCUCCGAAUUUCCAGCUUGCACGCCUUUGCCCGCCCGGGGCCGCCACUCUGCCUGCAGUCCCUUGCAACCCAGUCACACAUCUCCACAUUCUACCAGCUCACCUCCUCACUUCAACUACCAGCCCCAUCCAAAGGCCCCCUGAACCUAGCCCAAGGCCCAGCAUACAACAGAGGAGUGGUUAACAGAGGAGGAAGUAAGGAAAGCUGCUUUUCCACUGAAUUCUAGUGAUCUGUCCCCUUGCCCAGAUGUGACCUCCUCUAGGGCACAGCCUGCAUCUGUCCCACCCCAAUGUCAAUUUCCCCGCUCACAGUCUGGUGUAUAGCACAGCACCUAGUACACAAUAGGUGCCUAAUUGCUGUAUGACUAAUUGUGGAAGAAAAAUAAAGCAGUUGCU